CCCGUCUGAACGAAGGAUACACAAAGCCAAGAAAUGCAAGAAACAACCGGGGAAUCAGAACGGCUACACCUGCCCUGUGAAGGAGAUAACAAGGAGGACUGGAAGGCACAAAGUAAAGAAAAUGAAAAUUAGAAACCUGUGAAAAGGAGCAUUACCUAUUGCAGUUCUUCAACCUUCCAACUUCCCUCAAUCUUGAAAUUAUUUGAAAACUAUCAUGAUUUCCACUUUGCUCUUUGAUGUUUGUGUUUUCACGUUCUCCCUUUUUAAAGCAAAUUCCCAAAAUAUAAAAGCAUCAUUUGCCAGUUUCCGCCUCAAUUAUUUUAGAACAGCUUAAUUUCACGUGUUAGAAAUGCAGAAAUGAAAAAGAAAAGGGAGACACUUUCAGUGUUUCUAGCACACAGCACCUGCGUCUCACACAUCUUUGGGUUUCUGUCUCUGUAUCAUGAACCUUCAGAAUCAGAACUUCAUAAAAAGUUUGACCAAGCA